rnacentral:rRNA from 1 species
UACGGAGGGUGCAAGCGUUAUCCGGAUUCACUGGGUUUAAAGGGUGCGUAGGCGGCCCGGUAAGUCAGUGGUGAAAUCCCUCAGCUUAACUGAGGAAUUGCCAUUGAAACUGCCAGGCUUGAAUACAGUUGAAGUGGGCGGAAUACAACAUGUAGCGGUGAAAUGCUUAGAUAUGUUGUAGAACACCGAUUGCGAAGGCAGCUCACUAAGCUGUGAUUGACGCUGAGGCACGAAAGCGUGGGGAGCGAAC